GGAGCUAAUCUAGUGAGAGUGGAGGAAGAAUAUGUUAAUGCUAGCAGUGACAUGAGAAUGACAAUACAUGUUUGUGAUGUUUUCGGGGCAGAAGAGAGUGGUGAGUAGGGGAGAGAGUUAUUGGAGGAAGAAGAUUCUUGAUGAGUAAUUGAGACGUGCAUAGAUCGAGGGGGUUGUUGGGGGUAUCUUUUGUUCGUUUAGAAGAUAGAGCUAUUGAACUUUUUAGAGAAAUUGAAAAGAGAAGACAGGAGAAAGAGAGGGAGGGGAGACUGAAGACAAGGGCGAAAGGAAGACAUGUAGCUGAAGGAUCAAGGAAGUUAAAGAGACUAAUAUCCAUUGUUAAUUAUGAUGUCCCAAAAAAGGGGGAUAGGAAGGGUGAGAGGAGUCAACAUGCACAUUGAGGAAUGAUUGGUCAGAUUAUUUCAUGAAUGAUUGGUCAGAUUAUUUCAUGAAAUGUACGAGGUAUCAAUGACCACAAGAAGAGGAUGGUUAUCAAAUGAUGUUUGAGCAUAUGGAAUCCUGAUGUGAUUUGUUUGCAUGAAACCAAGAUGGAGAGCAUAACCGUUGGAGUUGUUAGCAGUCUAUGGAAGAUCAAGGUAGCGGAUUGGAGAGAACUUCUAGAGUGUAGUAGGAUGGGAGGCAUCAUUAUUUUAUGUAAGGAAGGGUGGUUAGACUGUGAGGAUACUUUGGCAAGUGUUUGUAUUGAGAAACUUGAACAAUUUGGAGAUUGAAAAAUAUGAGAGACUGUUGAAUACCUUUUCUAGUGUGAACUUGGAUGGAAGCAUUGAUACUCCCAAAUGGUGCUUUGCGAAUAAUAGGUUUUUCACAGUCAAGUCUUUCUACAAGCAUCUAUUUAGAUAUGAAGAUAAAG
rnacentral:lncRNA from 1 species